GCCUGGAUAGCUCAGUUGGUUAGAGUGGGGCGAUGAUAACGCCAGGGUUGCAGGUUCGAUCCCCGUAUGGCA